rnacentral:lncRNA from 1 species
AGUAUCAUGUCACCCACAAAAAAAGGAUGCUUUCCAUAUAUUAGACCAGUGCUCUGCAACCUUUUAUCUUCUAAGGCGUACCAACGUUUUUCCGAUAAGUCCGUGGCACACAACAAGUAAAAGCUUACAAAUUCAUAAAUUACAAUAAUACAUAUGUUUUUAUUAGGUAAACAAAAACAAUAAAAUAGCUGUAUAUAUGUAGAUAUUUAUUUUUAUUUAAGUUUUAUACAAAGCAAUUUGAAUUGUAUGUCGACACAAGAACAAAAAUAUGUAGUUAUAGAUUAUACAUCACAUGUAAAAAAAAUUUUCAAUAAAGGCUGUUUAAAGUUUAGGAUGUUUAAUGUCGAAUUUAAAAUAAUGUUGAGUGUUUGCAAUAUCGAGUUUUCAAUUUCCACAAUUAUCGGUCUACUUUUUUUUGCAAUUUGCUUUGACGAGUUCUUAAAACAGUUUUUUCUAAUUAACUUAUCAAUUGAUUAAUUAUUUUUUUCGUUUUUAAUUUGCCGUGUAAAACAGAGAAAGCUCCAAAAAUUUAAUUAUUCAAAUUAUUCUCGAGAAAAUCAUCACGGCACAGCCAAGUUCAUUUCGCGGCACACCGGUGUACCACGACACAGCGGUUACGGAGCACCGUAUUAGACCAUUGGAUACAGGUUCAAUCCACUGAAUUGCAUUGACCAAUUACAAUUUACUAAUACAAUAAAAAUAUUAUAUUUGAUUUCCACAUAUAAUAUUAGUGAAACCAGAGAAAUAAAACAUUAUUAUUUUGAUUUGUCUUUGUCAACUAUUUGCUGGUAGGGCUUGUUGUAAUAAUAAAUAUGCCAUUAUAAAAAUAAUGAUUAUUGAAAUAAUAAAAACUAUAUUCAUGAAAAACAAGCGCGUAGAAAAAACAUGCACACACCAUACGGAUCUUAUAAAGUCCUGUUUCUUUGGAAACAAGGAUGAAAAUAAGUAAAAUAAUAUUGAAAAAUUCGGAUAUUUUCUUUGAUUUAGAAGAAAUUACUUGACUGACAAUUUAAAAAAUAGAAUGGUAUCAUGAAUGCAAAAGCUGCUUCUAAAAUAGAACAAAUAUUCUAAUUUAUUAAUAU